UGGGAAGCCAUAGAGCUGUUGAAUUGGGCGCAUGCGUUUUGAUUGUCUUAUCCCUUAUCGGUAAGUGUUUGUUAAGCUUGUGUUUUCAAUUGCAACAAUGAGUCAAUAACAACAUAAAUAUGGUAUUUUCUAUCAUUUUUAGUGCAUGCUUUGAUCAUUUUGUUAUAGCAUGCUACUACUAGUAUUGGUACAAGUAUCUGUACGAUUCCUAUUUCGACAUUAGUUUCUUUUAUGGUUGGGCAUACUAGCAAUUGCUCAGAUUAUUUCUUUGUGGCUUGGGUAAUAUAUCCUCCACAAUCUUCUCCAUUCAAUUUUUGGGAUUACCAUUUGCUUAUUCUCUAGUUAUUUGGCCUUCACUGGUUCUUGUGAAAUUUAACUGUUUACAUAUGUUGUUUCUCUACUGCUGAAAAAUAUGUAUAAGGUUUGCCUAUUCAUUUUAAGAAGAGUUGGAGGCAUAUGAUGGUUGGGGAUUGUGAUUUCCAUGCAAUACUACUCUCCGAGCAUUUUUUGAUGAACUAUUUCUCUUGUUUUUUUGUUUUAUUUUUCUUCCUAAAGUAUACAAUAAUGCACAUGGGGUGGGACAAGAAUGAGGACCCUUAGUGGUUAGUUUUGCUCUUUCCUUGGCCUUCAACCUCACCAACUGCAAUGCAAUCAUAUUUUGAUUUUAGAAUAAUUUUUCCAAGUCUAUGGG
rnacentral:lncRNA from 1 species